CGUGGGGAACCUGCCCCAUAGUCUGGGAUACCACUUGGAAACAGGUGCUAAUACCGGAUAAGAAAGCAGAUCGCAUGAUCAGCUUUUAAAAGGCGGCGUAAGCUGUCGCUAUGGGAUGGCCCCGCGGUGCAUUAGCUAGUUGUAAGGUAAAGGCUUACCAAGGCGAUGAUGCAUAGCCGAGUUGAGAGACUGAUCGGCCACAUUGGGACUGAGACACGGCCCAAACUCCUACGGGAGGCAGCAGGA
rnacentral:rRNA from 1 species